rnacentral:rRNA from 1 species
GAUGUCAAAUAUGAUGGCUCAACCAUCAAGAGGCGUUGAAAACUGUUUAUCUAGAAUCUCGGAGAGGUAAGUGGAAUUCCAUGUGUAGCGGCGGAAUGCGUAGAUAUAUGGAGGAACACCAAUGGCGAAGGCAGCUUACUGGACGAAGAUUGACGCUGAGGUGCGAAAGCGUGGGUAGCAAACAGGAUUAGAUACCCCUGGUAG